rnacentral:rRNA from 1 species
GCCAGUGGUGAACUCCACAUACGCAUCCUUUGCUGAGGAUACGGUUAACGGAGCGAAAGCGACGUUCAACCUCAAAAGAAGCAGAGGGGGCUUAGUGGUGGGGUGACUGCGUACCUUUUGUAUAAUGGGUCAGCGACUUAUAUUCUGUAGCAAGGUUAACCGAAUAGGGGAGCCGGAGGGAAACCGAGUCUUAACCGGGCGUUAAGUUGCAGGGUAUAGACCCGAAACCCGGUGAUCUAGCCAUGGGCAGGUUGAAGGUUGGGUAACACUAACUGGAGGACCGAACCGACUAAUGUUGAAAAAUUAGCGGAUGACCUGUGGCUGGGGGUGAAAGGCCAAUCAAACCGGGAGAUAGCUGGUUCUCCCCGAAAGCUAUUUAGGUAGCGCCUCGUGAAUUCAUCUCCGGGGGUAGAGCACUGUUUCGGCUAGGGGGUCAUCCCGACUUACCAACCCGAUGCAAACUGCGAAUACCGGAGAAUGUUAUCACGGGAGACACACGGCGGGUGCUAACGUCCGUCGUGAAGAGGGAAACAACCCAGACCGCCAGCUAAGGUCCCAAAGUCAUGGUUAAGUGGGAAACGAUGUGGGAAGGCCCAGACAGCCAGGAUGUUGGCUUAGAAGCAGCCAUCAUUUAAAGAAAGCGUAAUAGCUCACUGGUCGAGUCGGCCUGCGCGGAAGAUGUAACGGGGCUAAACCAUGCACCGAAGCUGCGGCAGCGACACUAUGUGUUGUUGGGUAGGGGAGCGUUCUGUAAGCCUGCGAAGGUGUCUCGUGAGGGAUGCUGGAGGUAUCAGAAGUGCGAAUGCUGACAUAAGUAACGAUAAUGCGGGUGAAAAACCCGCACGCCGGAAGACCAAGGGUUCCUGUCCAACGUUAAUCGGGGCAGGGUGAGUCGACCCCUAAGGCGAGGCCGAAAGGCGUAGUCGAUGGGAAACAGGUUAAUAUUCCUGUACUUGGUGUUACUGCGAAGGGGGGACGGAGAAGGCUAUGUUGGCCGGGCGACGGUUGUCCCGGUUUAAGCGUGUAGGUGUGUGUUCCAGGUAAAUCCGGUUCACUUUAACACUGAGGCGUGAUGACGAGGCACUACGGUGCUGAAGCAACAAAUGCCCUGCUUCCAGGAAAAGCCUCUAAGCAUCAGGUAACAUCAAAUCGUACCCCAAACCGACACAGGUGGUCAGGUAGAGAAUACCAAGGCGCUUGAGAGAACUCGGGUGAAGGAACUAGGCAAAAUGGUGCCGUAACUUCGGGAGAAGGCACGCUGAUAUGUAGGUGAAGUGGUUUACCCAUGGAGCUGAAAUCAGUCGAAGAUACCAGCUGGCUGCAACUGUUUAUUAAAAACACAGCACUGUGCAAACACGAAAGUGGACGUAUACGGUGUGACGCCUGCCCGGUGCCGGAAGGUUAAUUGAUGGGGUUAUCCGUAAGGAGAAGCUCUUGAUCGAAGCCCCGGUAAACGGCGGCCGUAACUAUAACGGUCCUAAGGUAGCGAAAUUCCUUGUCGGGUAAGUUCCGACCUGCACGAAUGGCGUAAUGAUGGCCAGGCUGUCUCCACCCGAGACUCAGUGAAAUUGAACUCGCUGUGAAGAUGCAGUGUACCCGCGGCAAGACGGAAAGACCCCGUGAACCUUUACUAUAGCUUGACACUGAACACUGGUCCUUGAUGUGCAGGAUAGGUGGGAGGCUUUGAAGCGCGGACGCCAGUUCGUGUGGAGCCAUCCUUGAAAUACCACCCUUUAAUGGCUGGUGUUCUAACGUAGACCCGUGAUCCGGGUUGCGGACAGUGUCUGGUGGGUAGUUUGACUGGGGCGGUCUCCUCCUAAAGAGUAACGGAGGAGCACGAAGGUUAGCUAAUCCUGGUCGGACAUCAGGAGGUUAGUGCAAAGGCAUAAGCUAGCUUGACUGCGAGCGUGACGGCGCGAGCAGGUGCG